GGAGAGAUGGUUGAGCGGCUGAAGGCACUCGCUUGGAAAGCGGGCAUACGUGAAUAAGCGUAUCGGGGGUUCGAAUCCCCCUCUCUCCG
rnacentral:tRNA from 1 species